rnacentral:rRNA from 1 species
GACGAACGCUGGCGGCGUGCUUAACACAUGCAAGUCGAACGGAGUGGCGAACGGGUGAGUAUUACGUGAGUAACCUGCCCUCAACUGUGGGAUAAGCCUGGGAAACUGGGUCUAAUACUGCAUAGUUGGGGAUGGGCUCGCGGCCUAUACGCUUGUUGGUGGGGUGAUGGCCUACCAAGGCGGUGACGGGUAGCCGGCCUGAGAGGGUGGUCGGCCACAUUGGGACUGAGGUACGGCCUGGACGCCCUCCGGCUGCAGCAGUGGCGGAGAUUGCACACUAGGCGCAAGCCUGAUGCCGCGACGACGUGUGAGGGAUGAAGGCUUCCCGGUUAUAAUCCUCUGUCGGUACAGAACGGGUAUGUGCAGAAGAAGCGCCGGCUAACUACGUGCCAGCAGCCGCGGUAAUUC